rnacentral:misc_RNA from 1 species
UUUGUAACAAAACUGUCUAUAAACGAUAUAAUUUUUAAAUUAGAUAGGUUAGGGUUAUUUUUUUUUUUUUUUAGUAACAAAAUUGUCGAUAAACGGUGUAACUUUUAAAUUAGAUAGGUUAGGGUUAUUUUUUUUUUUUUUGUAACAAAACUAUGUUUAUAAACGAUAUAAUUUUUAAAUUAGAUAGGUUAGGGUUAUUUUUUUUUUUUUUUUGUAACAAAACUAUGUUUAUAAACGAUAUAAUUUUUAAAUUAGAUAGGUUAGGGUUAUUUUUUUUUUUUUUUUGUAACAAAACUAUGUUUAUAAACGAUAUAAUUUUUAAAUUAGAUAGGUUAGGGUUUUUUUUUUUGUAACAAAACUAUGUCUACAAACGGUGUAAUUUUUAAAUUAGAUAGGUAUGGGUUUCUUUCGGUCUUUUUCUGAAGUCAGAUUAUUGUAAAAAAAAAAUUAUUCAUGUCAUGUUUUUUACUUCAUUAUAUUUUAUUUAUUUAAUUAAAAAAUAUAAUAUGAAACAAGGCUGUAUGAUGUAAGACUUUUGCCUUUACAGUUAUUUAAACAAAAACAAUGUAUAUUGUUUUAGAACGAAACGAUAAGUGGCCUGUCAUUUUUUAUUAAAA